AUAUAGGGAUUGGAGCCAUGGCGC
rnacentral:miRNA from 1 species